CCUACGGGUGGCAGCAGUGGGGAAUAUUGGUCAAUGGGCGAGAGCCUGACCCAGCCACGCCGCGUGAGGGAAGACGGCUCUCGGGUUGUAAAAUUCUUUUCUCAGGGGCGAAAAGAGUGACGGUACCUCCGGCAUAAGCCACGGCUAAAUACGAGCCAGCAGCCGCGGUAAUACGUCGGUCGCAGGCGUUAUCCGGAUUUAUUGGGUGUAACGGGCGUGUAGGCGGGAAAGCAAGUCAGAUGUGAAAACUGAGGGCUCAACCCUGAGACUGCAUUUGAAACUGUUUUUCUUGAGUGCUGGAGAGGCAAGCGGAAUGCGGGGUGUAGCGGUGAAAUGCGUAGAUAUAAGGAGGAACACCAGUGGCGAAGGCGGAUUGCUGGACAGUAACUGACGCUGAGGCGCGAAAGCGUGGGGAGCAAACAGGAUUAGAUACCCGGGUAGUC
rnacentral:rRNA from 1 species